rnacentral:rRNA from 1 species
UAGGGAAUCUUCCACAAUGGGCGCAAGCCUGAUGGAGCAACACCGCGUGAGUGAAGAAGGGUUUCGGCUCGUAAAGCUCUGUUGUUGGAGAAGAACGUGCGUGAGAGUAACUGUUCACGCAGUGACGGUAUCCAACCAGAAAGUCACGACUAACUACGUGCCAG